rnacentral:lncRNA from 1 species
GUUAUCAUUGCCUUGGUGUUUUUAAUGAAUUAUUUUCCUUCCAUUUCUUCAGGAUGGCAUUAACAUUAUAGACGAAGGACAAUUCCGCUGAGAGGAUUCACUGCACUCUAUGAUUCAGCAAUAUCAAUGCCCGUAAGUACUCAUUAAUACUUCAUGUUAUUCAUGUAUAGUCAGUUAACUCAAGCUAUUAUUGCCUGAUUUUGCCUUCUUGGGAAAUUCUUCAUGGUUUAUUCAGGGUGAAAUAAUUCUUUAAUACUUUACUUUUCAGACAGGUGAAGGCCGACAUCUUUACUGGGCUGUGGUUGUUGUCUCGACGUUCAAGAUGAGAGCAUCUACCUUCAAAUGAAUGUUGACUUAUAUAACAAGAUGAAAACUUCAACAACCAAAAAACGAAGAAACUUUAAAACAAUAUGAGGAAAAUUGACCUCAUCUUAAGCUACAAGGACAGGUGUUAAAGUAGAGAAUGCAGAUACUUCCAAUACCUUACGGCCGGAGUUUGACGCCUUUGACAGCCGAGAUAAGUUAAUGAGUGACCAAUGGGAGAAACUGGAUACAUUAAAUACUUGAAAACUGGAAUGCAAGGAGAAAUACAGUAUGAUCUACAAAAUCAAGAACUGCAAGACUAUUACAACUUUGAAAAAACCUUGAUGAAGUAAGGUAAGAAAAAGUUUAAAAAUUCAUGGUUUGGUGUUUGCUAUCAUCGGGACUUGGUGCUGAAUCCUCAAACUUUAUGGAGGGUUCUAGAGGUCUUUCUCGCUUGGCGAAGCAGGAAAACUGUAGUACCUGGACAGAAAAUUGUUUCAAAAUGCACCAGACAACCAACCACAACUAUUGACAAUUUUGUUCUCUGAAACAAGGAAAGAGUUAUAUAAUUUCAAACAGUUCGUAUAUAUGACAUGUUGUCUAAUUUCGCUCUUUCGACACACCAAAUGAAACCGAAUUGCUAAUUGUAGGUUUUGUUUUGUGUGUCAAAAGAGAGGAAUUAUACGAUAUGUCACUUACAAACUGUAUCAAGCCACAAUCUAAGUAUUUGAAUCAUAUUUCUUGUACUAGAGAAUGUCUGGAUAGUACAUGUCAAUACUGUUGUAGAACCUGGAACUUUCUGAAUUAGAUGUGAGUUAUCGUUAAACUAUUAACUGGAAGCAUUAAAUAUUUGAAAACUGGAACGCAAGGAGGAAUACAGUUUCAUCUACGAAAUCGAGAACUGAAGUCAAGAUUUACAGGGGAAUGAUGACAAGAAUAUUACAACUUUGAAAAAGACCUUGAUGAGGUAAGAAAAAGUUUAAGAAUUCAUGGUUUGGUGUUUGCUAUCAUCAGUAGUAGUUGGAGCUGUAUUCUCAUGCAAAUGUUGUGGAGGUUUGCUGGGGAUCUGUCUCGCUUGGCGAGGAAGAAAAAGUGUAGUACGCGGAGACAAAAUGCUGUUUUAAAGUGCAGGAGACAACCAACCACAACUCUACUUCAAUUAUAUUUCUUGUACUAGAAAAUGUCUGGAUAUUGCAAGUCCAUGGUGCUGUGUGCCACGUACAACUUUCUGAAUUAGAGGUGAGUUAUCGUUAAACUAUUCAACUUGGACAACAUUUAUCACUAUCUGCAAGUUGAAAGCACUUUAUUUCUGCAGGAAAUGAUUCUAUAAAUAUUUUCUUGCUUUGUUUAAAAGAAACAUUAGGAGACGAAAGAAGUCUCCAUAAAGAGUUUAAAGUUUACUUGAAGGACAACAUCAUUGAAGAGAUGUAAGUCGUACAUUAUUGGUGACAAAAAUGAACUUCAACCUAAUUUGACCAGAAGGUUUUUUGUCACAUACACGAAUUUCUGCAUAUUUUUCUUCCAUUUCUUCAGGAUGGUGGCUAACAUCUCAGACGAAGGACAAUCCCGCUGAAAGGAUUCCCUGCAGUCUAUUCGGUUAAAUCAACGCCUGUAAGUAUCCAUUAAUACAUCCAAUUAUCUCUCUAAUGUGCAUUCAGCACAGUACGUGAACGCUGUCUCGCUUGUCACUCGUCGUGAACAUUUGUAUUCUUGAACUGAAAAAUCAAGAAUAAAGAUGGCGAACUGACGCUAAAUUAACCUGAAGUGGGACCUCACUUUGUGGCAUAGUACAGCAAGAUAUUUGUUGUCUUGAGCAGAAUUUGCUCUACCCAUUGAAGUAUCGAGUCAACGGGGAUCCAAUAUCAUUCUACAUUAUGGUUGAGUUUGUUUUGACACUAUGGGUGUGUCAAUCUGUGUGUUGAUUUGUUGUAUCUUUGUAUUUUUAGUGGUUUGCUAGCUCGCCUAUUGUGUGGUCAGACAAGAGGACGGUGGCCUAUCUUGUUGUAUUUAUUGUUCAUACAUUCUGUUCUACUUGUCUGUUUGUAUUCUCUAUACGCAUGCAGCUUAAUUUGCAACAUACAAUGACAAAGACAUUGAAUGUCAAAAUUGUUAAUUAAUAAGCGAGCAAAUUAUUGUUAUUUAAAUGACUUAAUGUGUAAUAAAUUAUUCGCAC